GCGUCGGUGGUUCAGCUGAUAGAAUACUCGCCUGCCACGCGGGUGGCCCGGUUUCGAUUCCCGGCCGACGCA
rnacentral:tRNA from 1 species